AGCAUCACUACUUGAAUGAUUAAUUCUGUUUCCAGCUGUCCUGCAGCUGUCUGGGAUUUGGACCUUGGUCUAAUCCCAAUCUUACUGCAUCCCUUUCUCUAUAAAUUAGGAGCAGUGACAUUGUCUAAAAUGAGGACUAGUUGUUGCCAUUGACUUUAGCUUAGAAGUAGGGGUGAUAGUCAUAAUAUUAGCAACUGGUAUAAUACAAGUGCUGACCAAUCAUAAUGGGCACCUGUAGUUCCUGCUAGCAUUAAACCUUUAGAUUCGAGGGUCUUGAGAGAAGGAUUGAGGUAGCUGAGAUGGCGAAAGAUUCAGAGUGGGGGUACUUGGGGGCACUGGCUAUUUACGAAAUGGUACAGAAGUAUUUCAAUACUUUAAACAUAGCCUGGUUAAAUCCAGACAAUACCAGAUGAAUAGCAAUCCACUGUUGUUUUUUGUUUUCUUUUUUUUUUUUUUUUUUGGUGGAGUCUCACUCUGUCACCCAGGCUGGAGUGCAAUGGCAUGAUCUCGGCUCACUGUGACCUCUGCCUCCCGGGUUCAAGCAAUUCUGCUGCCUCAGACUUCUGAGUAUCUGGGAUUACAGGCACGUGCCACCAUGCCUGGCUGAUAUUUGUAUUUUUAGUAGAUACGGGGUUUCACCGUGUUGGUCAGGCUGGUCUCGAACUCCUGACCUCAUGAUCUGCCCUCCUCAGCCUCCCAAAGUGCUGAGAUUACAGGCAUGAGCCACCGUGCCUGGCCUUGUAAUCCAUUCUUGAAAGAAUCUAGAGAAAAGGACAUACCCAUAUGAUGUCUUGGUCAAUAUGCUCACUGAUAAAAGAUCCAGCAACCAGCAGAGGACCUAGUACCAAUUUAAUAUUUUGAACCAGGAUUAGAAUUCACAGAUACUGAGUCUCCACAACCUUAUAAAGUGACUUUGAAAACAAGAUGGCCUUUAAAAUUGUCAUAAAUGGCUGCCAGGUGGAGCAGGGCUGUGAGGGGCACCCAGCCUCUGUAAAAAUAAAUAGUCUUUAUUGAAAAGAAUGCAACAGCCCUGGAAUAUGCUUUGAUGUGGCAAUGGGUUUUUUUGGAUCUCUUCUUGCCUGAUCAUUACUUGGUUUACACAGGACUUGGCCAGGGAGGAAGACACACCCCUUUGACAGGUAGACAGGAAGCACUAUUGGCAGGGAGCAGCUGCGAAGCAAUCCUAGUUGCCAUCAUUGGGGUGCUGGCAUAGUACUGGUCCUGCAGGUUUCUAACUUGUCAUCCUAGCUGGUAAUGUCUCCUGGUUUUUAUGGAAGGCUUAAUUGGAGAGUGUCUGAUGCCUGAAGGACUUUCCUGGUUGACAACCUUGAAAAUGGUGAAAGAAAGAAAUUGAAACCAGAUCUCACUGAGUGGGAAGGCCUCACUGAGCUGACCUGUGAAAAAAGACCUACAUGAAGUGAUAAGCAGAUAUCUGGGACAAGCAUUCCAGGCACAGGGAACAGCAUGUGCAAAACCCUGGAGACAAGAGUAUUCCUGGAGUGUGAAAGGACUACAAGUUCUCUGCUGUCAAAUGGAGAAAAACAAAAACAAGGGUCAGAGAGCUAUUUUUAUUGAAGAUCUCAAGAAGGACCAAGUCAUUCAUCAAGUGGAGCGGAUGUGGUCAGGAAAAAGGACUGGCCAGAGAAAAUCCAUCUGCAGAGCCUCAUCCUUAUUGGUCAUUUUUCCCCAAAAGACAUCCCAGGAUUCCUGUAUCCUCUGAAUGUGACCCAUCGCCACCUUCAUCAUCAGCCUCAUCAUCAUCAAUGUUUACUUAUUUUAACCAAUAGAUACACAAUAUAAAAUUCUUGGAUGAAGAAUAGCAUUUUUUGAACUCACCUUUAAUACAGAGAAGUAUGGAGAGGUUAAACAAAUAAAAGGAUAGGCUACAAUCUCAAUUUUGAUAAAUCAAUUUUUAAAAACCUGUCAAUGGUUAUAAAAUGCAAAUAUACAAAUAGGUAUAUUUGCAUAAUUUGUUUAUUUGCCGUCUGAUUGAUGGACACAUCCUACUUAUUUAUUUUUUGGUAUUACACAUUUUAUUGCUAUGAAUAUCCUCAAAUGAACAACUUGGUGAACUUUUAGACAUAUACCCAUAAGUUAAAGUCCUAGCACUGGGUUGGUUGAGUUAAAGGCUGCAUGCAUAAAAAUCAUGGUAGGUCAUAGUUACCCUUUAUUGAAUAACUAAUUUGGGCCAAGAAAAGUUUUAUAUGUUAUUUUUAAUCCUCACAACAAUCUUUCAAGGUCAUUGAUAGUAUUAGUGAUUACAGGUGAGGGUGAACUGAACUUCAGGGAGGAGGAGGCUGUUUUGACGAAUGCCUAUUAACCUCUGUAGGGAAGGCAUUAGGUUCAAGAGGCUGAAGAAGAGACCCAGAGCCAGAAAACGAGACUUGGGGUUUUAUUAGGGGAUCACAUGCAGGGGAGAGAGUCAAUGACAGUGGGCUGGACAAGAUAUCUGUAUGGUCUGGUGGCAGCAGGAUGGGUAGGAGAACCAAAGCUGCUUGCAAACAUCAUGCAGUUUAUACAGCAUUUUCACUAACACCCUCCCCUUAAUGACCUCCACCUCGCAAUGUCCAUUAAGGCUCCGGGCCUCAAUCCUCUGUAUGGCCCGUGUCCCACGGGAUGGGCUGGGAGCUCAGAUGUUACUCAUAGACAAGGAAUAAAUCUCUGGAUUGGCCACUCCUGGAUUCCAUAGCUGGGAGCACACAUUCAGAUGCAUCUGUCAUACAAGGUCAUUCAGACUACAGGGACCUCCCCCGACCCUAGGUAACAGAGCUGAAGAGUGGCUGAACUAGAAUUCAGUCCCGAGUCUUUCCAACUUGGAACUGACACAGUCAUCUGAAGGCUACAAAUAACGUUGAAGAGAAGAUCAUAAAGCUGGAGAAUCCUGGCCAUCUCUUAGUCCACACCUCACCCUUUCAGACGUGGCAGGGAGACCCUGAGAAGCUUAGUGUCUUGCCAAAGGCUAUAGAGGUAAGAUGGGACCGGGACCCUGCCUCCCAGGACAGCGACCUUUACAGUACACUAGUGGUUUUGUAUGUCUGGGGCCACAGAAGCCCUUUUUCCAAAAAAGCUUGUGUACAACGGCUAAGCUCAGGUUGCUCUGCUUGAAUCAUGGGAGGAAGCCCCAGAGCCUGCUUCUGUCUUGUUUUCUACUUUUCUCUCUCCCAAGGCAUUUCUGGGGAGCACGGUUUGAAAAACAUCCUUUUUAAUACUGUCUUUGAAUGAUUUUUUUGGUAUGAAAAUAAAUUUUUAAAGUGAAAUAAAAAAAAAAAAGAAAAACACUUGUCUAUAGCACAGCUAUCUCUGUGUGUGGGGUCCAUCAUUCUUUCUAGUUGCUUUGAGCAAACACAAAACCUCUAACUUCUUUUUUUAAAAUGGAAGACUUGGG
rnacentral:lncRNA from 10 species